GGCAAGGUGGCCGAGCGGUCUAAGGCGCCACGUUAAGGACUUCAUCCUUAAUUCAACUCGACGAGUUCCGUGGUCCGAAAGGGCGUGAGUUCGAAUCUCACCCUUGUCA